GGGGGCGAAACGGCUUCGACGGGGAUAAAAAAGCUUAAGUUGCAUAUCGAGGUUCUGUUUGCUCGUUAAACAGGCAGAAAACAAUAAACGCAGACGAUUAUGCGUAUGCUUUAGCCGCUUAAAAGGCUAACGUCCUCCCAUUCUUUCCUGUGAGAAUGGAUUUGGGCGCCGACUAACAGGAUAGCUAACCUGAGAGACCUGAAUCUCAGGAAGGUGAAAAUUUUUUCAGGUUAGUUCCUUAUUCAUCUUGCCCGAAAGGGGUCUAAGGGAUGAACAUUAAAGUUCGGGCUAUGUAUGUAGAGGCUUAAGUGGAAUAUUUUCGGACGGGGGUUCGACUCCCCCCGCCUCCACCA
rnacentral:tmRNA from 1 species